AAUUAUGUAUAACCCGAUCAAAAAACACACAAACAGACGUCUCUCUCAUCAUCCUCCACCUGGGUUGAGGGUUUCAAUUAGAGUACUUCGAUCGAUCUGAAACCCUAAUUCACCAUCCAAAAUGUCUCAAACUGGAAAAUUAAUGCACAAUCUAGACCAAAAAGCACGAAGAUCCUCAAUCUCAUUGUCCUCGAGAGGAUGGAUCCGUACAUCAAGGAGAUCUUAAUCACCGCUGCUCAUGUCACCUUCUACGAGUUCAACAUCGACCUCAAUCAAUAGAGGUUCUUGUUUGCAAAUAGACGAUGAACUUUGCAUUCUUCAAGAUGGGUUUCCUCUUUUCUCCUAUUAGGUUAUGAGCUUAUUAUAACUUUACUCCAUGUAAGACAUUUUUUUAUGUUGGUUUAUUUUUCCUUCAAGCCAUGAGUGUUAAACAAUGAUUUAAGUUUCUUUUAACAAUGUAGAAGAGGAACUGGGGGGUUAACCUAUAUAAGCUCUUUUCAACAAAAUUUUAUUAGACUAUAGUAGCUGUUAGUUUGGGUCAAGUUUACACAAGAGAGACUAUUGCCAUUACAGUUACAAAGGCCAACUUCACUCAUUGUUCAUAAUGGCUAGAGUCGUUGAGGGAAUGAGGGUCAUUGAAGGUAUUUCAUGAACUAGUUUAGUAAUUUCAACUCAAUAGCAAUAGCGUUUCGACCCGUACCAUUUUGACGCGAACCGUUUAGACGCGUAUCGUUUUAACGCGAACGGUUUCGACGCGAACCGUUUCGACCUGUACCGUUUCGACCCGUACCGUUUCGACGCGAACCGUUUAGAGGCGUACCGUUUGGACGCGAACCGUUUCGACGCAAACCGUUUCGACUUAUACCGUUUCGACCCGUACCGUUUCGAACCGACAUGAACCAUUUCGGCCAGGUACCGUUUCGACCAAUACCGUUUCGAACCGACGUGAACCAUUUCGACCCGUACCGUUUCAAACCGACGCGAGCCGUUUUGACCCGUACCGUUUCGACCAGUACCGUUUCGAAUCGAAAUGAAAUGUGCAAGAACUUUCCUUGCGUUAUUGAAAGACUACACAUGCAGAUAAGAACACAUCAAGAUGGUGCCAGUGCAAAUUAUGGACCAAAAAACAUGGCUUUGGAAGAAAAGAUAUGCCAAGAAGUCGAUCGACGCAAACAGUGAAUCUGAAAAUGAGGCAGAGUUUCAGUUUGAUGAUUAAGAUCUGAGUUUGGUUCGAAGAAGGAACUAAAUCAAAGAAAAUCUAGUUAUACACGCGCAUCACGCCUUAUUUUGUCCAAAGGAAAGAAUACUGAAUCUGUUGAAGGGAUUACUGGCAGCUUGUCACUACAUUUAGUGCGGAAAAUGUGCACUACAUUACAAGCAAACGAUUCGGUAGUAUGCAAACCACCACCACCGACGAUUCAGAUGAACCGUUGAAGCUCGCUCUAGCAAUGGCUCUUCUUCGUUCUAAGCUCGUGAACAAAACUUCUGAAACUUCUCAUCCUCCAUCUGAUACCUCCAGUUCUGAAGCUCUCAAAUGGAAAUGCAAGGUACAUCCUCUCAUCUCUUCCCAUUCACAACGUAUAGAUCUUGCAGAAACCGUCAGCUAAAUCGAAAUUAGCUUCGAUGAACGAUUUGAACAAACCUUCAGUUGAAUCGAAAUUAUCUUCGAAUUAGGUAAAAGUGACGUUACUGAGAUGUUAUUGACUUAUUGCAUAGUUUGUGAUGAUCAUGUGAACAUUUAGGGCUUCUGUUUGUAUUUAUAAGUUAUAACAUCUUCCUCUUGCAAAAACUGUCAGGUGAAUCUGAAUUAACCUCGAGUUAGGUUAAAGUUACAUCACUGAGUUGUUGUUAUCGACUUAUUGUGAAGUGAAUGGUCAUUUCACGACUAAACAACAAGACGAAUACGAAUAGAGGCCCAAAUGUAUUUGUUUAUUGGUGAUGUGUACAAUCUGUUUGAUAAAAUGCCUGUGUAAAACUUUGAUAUUUUGUUAGUUUCUUUUUAACUUAAAAAAUAUUAAGGAAAAGUGUAUGGGUUGGUCAAUGGUAGUGACCCGUGUUUACAUAGCAAAGGAAAGAAGCCUUGAUCCCCAAGACUAGCUGUGUCUUUUUCGAAUAGUGAGUUGUUGCCUAGCCUUGGUCACUAAACUCGGAAGGUCCUGAGGUAUUUUUAAUCCUUUUAGACUAAUAACUUUUGUGCAUUUGUAUCGUUUCCCACUGUUAUUAUGUUUGUUUGGUUUGCGAUGCUUGUUUUUUAUUAUUAGGUUUGAUGCUCUUAAAUUAGUGAGAAUGUUAAGGAAUUUCAUAUUGAUUUGAUUACACCUUCUUUACGGGUUGUUUCCAACAAAAAAAAUGUUUUUAAAAUUAGUAUAAUUCCCUUCUUAAUAUGUAAACAAACUGGAACAUGCUAUUUAGCUUCUAGCAAUUGAAUUGUAGCUCACAAUUGUAUUUUGUUUUCUUUACAACCGACUUGACCCAUUAUUACUUUUCGUUAAAUUCUGAUUUCUUGAUUCUAUUUAUUGGUUGUUUUGUAGAUUGAAAAGUUGAACUUAGUUAUCAAGGAACUCGUUAAGGAGAAAGAUGAAGAAAAAGAAAGGUUUAAUAGAAUUAAUGCGGGGUUGCUGGCUGAAAAAGAAAAAGAUAAGGUGGAUAAAGAUGCUAUGCUACAAAUUGAAGCUAUGUUAACAGCUACAGUUCGAAGAUAGGUUAUAAACACUUGUUUUUGAAUGUUUAGAUGUUUAUCUUAUUAGGGCAAUUUUAGUUAUUUUAUGUUUUAGUUGGUAUUUUUUAUAUGCUUUUGAAAACGAGAUGUUUUAUAUAAUUUUGGGAUUUUAUUA